rnacentral:rRNA from 1 species
AACGAACGCUGGCGGCAUGCCUAACACAUGCAAGUCGAACGAAGGCUUCGGCCUUAGUGGCGCACGGGUGCGUAACGCGUGGGAAUCUGCCCAAAGGUUCGGAAUAACUCGGGGAAACCCGUGCUAAUACCGGAUGAUGUCGCAAGACCAAAGAUUUAUCGCCUUUGGAUGAGCCCGCGUCGGAUUAGCUAGUUGGUGGGGUAAAGGCCUACCAAGGCGACGAUCCGUAGCUGGUCCGAGAGGAUGAUCAGCCACACUGGGACUGAGACACGGCCCAGACUCCUACGGGAGGCAGCAGUGGGGAAUAUUGGACAAUGGGCGAAAGCCUGAUCCAGCAAUGCCGCGUGAGUGAUGAAGGCCCUCGGGUCGUAAAGCUCUUUUACCCGGGAUGAUAAUGACAGUACCGGGAGAAUAAGCUCCGGCUAACUCCGUGCCAGCAGCCGCCGUAACAC